rnacentral:rRNA from 1 species
GACAGAGGAUGCAAGCGUUAUCCGGAAUGAUUGGGCGUAAAGCGUCUGUAGGUGGCUUUUUAAGUCCGCCGUCAAUCCCAAGGGCUCAACCCUGGACAGGCGGUGGAAACUACCAAGCUGGAGUACGGUAGGGGCAGAGGGAAUUUCCGGUGGAGCGGUGAAAUGCGUAGAGAUCGGGAAAGAACACCAACGGCGAAAGCAGCU